rnacentral:rRNA from 1 species
UAGGUGAACCUGCGGAAGGAUCAUUAGAGAAAACUGGAUCUCCGGAUCCGAUCUACCCACACACACCUGUGAAACCGUUUAUAUGCCCGACGGCCGCGAGGCCCGAAGGCUACUUUACAAAACAUCUUAUAUAUGUCACGAACGUCUGAGUUAUAUUUUAACAAAAAAUAAAACUUUCAACAACGGAUCUCUUGGCUCCCACAUCGAUGAAGAACGCAGCGAAAUGCGAUAAGUAAUGUGAAUUGCAGAAUCAGUGAAUCAUCGAGUCUUUGAACGCACCUUGCGCCCUUUGGUAUUCCGAAGGGCAUGCCUGUUUGAGUGUCAUGAAAACCUCAAUCCCUCCGGUUUUCACGAACCGGUUGGACUUGGACUUGGGUGUUGCCGCGGCUCGCGCCGUCGGCUCGCCUCAAAAGUGUUAGUGAGACGGUGGAUAACCUGUCAGCCUGGCGUAAUAAGUUUCGCUGGGCCCUUGGGGUAGUCUUCUCGGCUUGCUCAUAAGAACCAACUUUCUAUGACUCUGACCUCAAAUCAGGUAGGGCUACCCGCUGAACUUAAGCAUAUCAAUAAGCGGAGGA